ACCCAUGCUGGGCUAAGACAAGGGGCAGAGGCAGAGAGAGAGAGAGGAGCCACCCUGAGAAGGAAGAGACCAGGUGGGCUCUGAGACAGGGAGACCCUUUCUACGUCGGUGCCUUGACAUGUGACUUUUUUGUCACUUCGUGCUCCAGGAUCACACCUGGAUGAACUAUCACUUUCAAAUGACCUUGUCUUUUCUCGGGCCUUCUGAACUGAUCAUCUCUUCCUUCUGAUACAAGAGGAUCUUCCCUGGAAGACCACUGCACACCUUCUAGUAACACUGCGACCCUGGACUUGGAGGUAAUGUGCUGAAUCAGUCUUUCUGCAAGACCUUCUCUGAGACAGAACUAUGACCUGUUGGAUUCAGAUCAGACAUUCUGGAGAACAUAAAAUGCUCCAGGGACUUUUGUGGCUGAUCACGAG
ensembl:lncRNA novel transcript